GUACAGACGUAUCGUGGCCCCUGGCAGAUAAAGCUAUUGAAGAAGAAUGACACUGGUUGCAAGGGAGAGCUCCGGGACGCUCUGCGCGCAGCAUUGGCUGAGGUGCACGCUGUGGUUUGUGCAGGAGCCACGAACUCCACCACCGAUUUGCGGAAACUGCAGUUUGUAAUAAAUCCCUAUUGACGGAAAUCAUUAUAGCAAGGAAUAUAGCCGUGGGCAGCGAGGAUACACAGCCAAGGAUGUAGUUCACAUUUCCCACCAGCAGGAGGCAACCCAAACCCUGCAGACGAACGGACAAUCCUGUGAAAUGUCAGCAGCUGAUAACGUACCCAGAACUGGGAAAAUUUAAAGAUGGCUGAAAAACACGAUCCCUUCCCGUGUCUCUGAUCAGAGCUGGUGAUGGCCAGAAUAUUAAUGUGAGCUGUUUUUCCAUUGAUCUUCUCUGUGUGACUGUAUGAAACCCUGCCUGCCGCAAGCGAGGGAAUGAAAAGUUAAAUCCCACUUAUAACCGCCGAGCCUUCUGGAGCAGUUUAUCUUCUAUCAGGGAGGAGAGACGGAGCUAUCGGAGUCAGUUAAACGCCACGAGGAGGAAAUUUAUUUUCUGUCACCUCUCCAGAGUAAUGGGAUUUGGAGCGAAGAUGGAGAAAAGUUAAAUAUACUCUAUCCACCCGUUACUGUCAGUUAAAUA